UUAUCUGAAAUGGUUUCUACUAUUCAAAUGGAAAGGACUCGUUCCUGGAGUAGAAACUAAGUGCAACACACCUCCCGUCUCAGAGGGCUGUGCCAGAGUCUGAAUUUUCGACUUCAGGUCAUCAGUUAAGGCCAAAUACUGUUUUCCUAAUGGCGAUGGAUUAUGCAAAAAUUGCUGAGCCGCUUUGCAUCGAACUUGGUGGAGGGAUGAGGCCUGGGCCAGGCUGCUCAUCACGUUGGAGCUAAAGUCAACAAUGUUCUGGAUCUGCCUGAAGGCCUGCUCUGCUGUCUGGAUGACAGAAGGACAGAAACACAGCCAGACAGCUGACUGAUGAGGAGGGGGUUCUUUCCCUCGUUUUGAAGAAAAACUGCUCCUUUUGGAUUAGUCAUGGAUCAUCGGCCUGGCAGACAUCAUUAGGGUGACUGACAGCUCUUGAUUUGACUCAGACAUCGACACUAACUCUGGCAUCAAACGGGGCCGUUGACAGAUGGGUUACCGACUACCAAACCAGUUACACACCACCAGCUGUGUGUGGCUACAGGUGCAGCAUAGAAACACCCCGUGAAGCACCCUGCGACUGUUUUAAUUCAAAAUGUUUUAUUUGAUUCAGUAACAUGUUGUUAUUUUAUUAAAUAAAAAGUUGGAGACUUCAUAAAGAAAUAU